rnacentral:rRNA from 1 species
UUCCGGUUGAUCCUGCCGGACCCGACUGCUAUCAGAGUGAGAUUUAGCCAUGCGAGUUAACGUAGCAAUACGUGGCGCACGGCUCAGUAACACGUAGUCAACAUGCCCAGAGGACGUGGAUAACCUCGGGAAACUGAGUCUAAACCGCGAUAAGUGAGGAUUUCUGGAAUGGUUCCUGACUAAAAUCUAUAUGGCCUCUGGAUUGGACUGCGGCCGAUCAGGCUGUUGGUGAGGUAAUGGCCCACCAAACCUGUAACCGGUACGGGCUCUGAGAGGAGGAGCCCGGAGAUGGGCACUGAGACAAGGGCCCAGGCCCUAUGGGGCGCAGCAGGCGCGAAACCUCUGCAAUAGGCGAAAGCCUGACAGGGUUACUCUGAGUGACUUUCGCUAAGAAAGUCUUUUGGCACCUCUAAAAAGGGUGCAGAAUAAGGGGUAGGCAAGUCUGGUGUCAGCCGCCGCGGUAAUACCAGCACCCCGAGUGGUCGGGACGAUUAUUGGGCCUAAAGCAUCCGUAGCCGGUUCUGCAAGUCCCCCGUUAAAUCCAGCUGCUCAACAGAUGGGCCGCGGAGGAUACUACAGAGCUAGGAGGCAGGAGAGGCAAGCGGUACUCAGUGGGUAGGGGUAAAAUCCGUUGAUCCAUUGAAGACCACCAGUGGCGAAGGCGGCUUGCCAGAAUGCGCUCGACGGUGAGGGAUGAAAGCUGGGGGAGCAAACCGGAUUAGAUACCCGGGUAGUCCCAG